CGCGAAGAACCCUUACCAUCCCCUUGACCAUUCCAGUGAAAUUUUUCUAGGAGAUAGAUUAAGUGCCCUUCGGGAACACUGAGACAGGUGCUGCAAUGGGCUGUCUGUCGGCUCGUGUUGUGAGAUGUUGGGGUUAAGUCCCGCAACGAGCGCAACCCCUUAUCCUUUAGUUGCCAGCGCGUAAAGGGCGGGAACUCUGGGGAGACUGCCGGUGAUAAACCGGAGGAAGGUGGGGACGACGUCAAGUCAUCAUGGCCCUUACGGGAUGGGCUACACACGUGCUACAAUGGCGCGUACAAUGGGAAGCUAACUCGCGAGAGUGUGCGGAUCUCAAAAAGCGCGUCGUAGUCCGGAUUGGAGUCUGCAACUCGACUCCAUGAAGUCGGAAUCGCUAGUAAUCGUGGAUCAGAAUGCCACGGUGAAUACGUUCCCGGGCCUUGUACACACCGCCCGUCACACCAUGGGAGUGGGCUGCACCAGAAGUAGAUAGCUUAACCUUCGGGAGGGCGUUUACCACGGUGUGGUUCAUGACUGGGGUGAAGUCGUAACAAGGUAACCAUAGAGUUUGAUCCUGGCUCAGUAAGUCGUAACAAGGUAACCAUAGAGUUUGAUCCUGG
rnacentral:rRNA from 1 species